rnacentral:lncRNA from 1 species
UGUAUAUAUAUGUAAGAUAUAUAAUGUAUAUAAAUCUAGAGUGUAUAUGUGUGUAUAUAUAACACAUGUAUAUAUUGCAUGUAUGUACUAUAUGUAUAUAUGUGUAAAUUAUGGAAAUAGAUCACUUAUGUAUAAUUUUUGACUAUUGUUACAUGUAGUUUGCAUAAGUGAGUUUAAUGUUUUGGUUUAAUUUCUGUGUAAAACAUGUAAUGUUGUGUUUAUUGUAAUUUUCAAUUAUUUUUCUCUAAGUUUGAUGUUAAUGCAUUACAACAGUAGUAGAAUUUUCUGUAUUAGUUGAUAAGAGUAGUAUUUAUGAGUUUAAUGUUUGCAUAGAAGCUGUGUUUAUCUUUUGGUUUUGAUGUUAUUUGCUUGUUGUGCUUUUGCAUAUGUUUGACAUUUGGAUUUGUUCAUUAUUUAAUUCCUUUUUUCCCUUUCCUUGUUAAAAUCCCUAGAAUAAGUUAGUAUUAGAUAGAUUGAUAGUUGAGUGUAGGUUGUUUAUUGUUUGUUGUUUUGGGUAGAUAUCUUAGUUUAGGUAAUCUGUAAGUAAUUUAGGUUGUACACAAAUGCCAAAAUAGUGUUUUCAACACAAUUUGGGCUUUGUGCAAAGGGGGGAUUAUUGCAAUGUAAUGCUUAGUGCAUAAGCAUGAUUGACAGGAAGAGAAUCUUCAGAGCUGGCAGGGGAAAGAUUCCAAAUGGUUGAGGUGACAAUUUACUGGUCUCUCUUGGGGGUUGGCAGCUACCAAAGAAGCUGGAGGUGUCUGAUCUGUGCUCCUGUGGACAUCUUUGGAUCAUCUUACAAGCAGCCCUCUGAAGCAGGAGUGGAUAGGAGUUUUUCAAUACCCUUAGAUGGACUAAGGGACAAUAUUGAGAGCUCCUGCCAUUCUCUGGACCACCUAGGACUUCUUAUCUGGACUCCAGUCUCUCCUUGCCAAAAGACUCUAUAUAUUCCAGAGCUGGACUCAAUUAGGAAUGACCUGGAGAAGGAAAUGGCAAAUCAUUCCAGCAUUAUUGCAAAGAAAACCCCAAAUGGUGUCAUGAAGAGUCAGAUGUGACUGGAACAACUCAACAACACUUGGUAGACUGCUGAAACAAGAAUGAAGGGGAAGAGAUCAAUUUGCAACUUUUUGGCAUGGAUGUUGAAAAAUAUUUGCUGUGUAGUUCUUUUUGUUAUAGCAAAGAACUGAAACUAAAGGAAUGCCCAUCAACUGGGGACAAAUUAUGAUGUAUAGAUGUCAUGUAAUAUUAUUAGACUGUAGAAAUAAUGAAAAGGAUGAAUUGCAGUGAAAUCUGGGAAGACUUUUAUGAGCUGAUGCAGAGUGAAAAAAAUAAAACCAGGAGAAUAAUUUCUGUAAUAACA